CCUGAAUCUAACUCUGGAGACCCCUAAUGGCUCUCUCCUCCUCCUGCGCGGGUUCCUCAAAUCCCCGUCAGCCGAAAGCCUUCGCCGUCCGAUCUUUCCCUUCUCUCUGUGAUCCAGUCGCCACCGCCGAGGAACAGCCGGCGGCAGAUGGCAAUCUUAUCAGCGGUCAAAAGGCUCCGCCGAGUCCCCUCAUCACUCCUCCGGAACCUACUUCCUGCGGCCCUGGAAGUGAUUUCAUUUCUUAUCGUGGAAAAAUCUUCAAGACACCUAUUGUCUUCGCUACCCGCAAAUUCCCCAAAGGCUGCGGCCCCGUCGCCGCCUCCAUCCCCAAACCCUCCGAUGAGGCCUCGACUGAUAUCGCGAAGAGAAUUCCUGAGGAAGGGAGUGAUGAAAAGGAUGCGGAGAAUUCUACUAGAAAGAGUUCUCAGAUACCGGAUUUUGUCGAAGGUGCUGCAAGGUUCCUUAGGCCCGAAGGUUAUGAGGCCAAGGUCAAGGUUGAAGAAGUGAAAGAGAAAUUGAAGGAUAUUGUAAGGCGAAUUCCUGAGAAAAGUAUUGGUUUGGGAAAAUUUUCGGAAAAUACUUUAGUUGGGAAAUCAUUGGGUGGUAAGGAUGGAGAGAAGCAUGAUAAAAAGAGUUCUCUUAUGCCUGAUUUUGUUAAAGAUGGUAAGAGGGUCAGUAGGCCUGAAGGGUUGGUAGUUAUGAAUAAGAUUGGAAAAACGGAAGAGGAAUUGAAUGAUGUUGUGCGGAGAACUUCUAAGGAAGGGAGUGGUUUGGGAAAGGUUUUGAAAAAUGAUGUACUUAGAAAAUCAUUGGGUGGAAAGGAUGGUGAGAAGCCUAAUGAAAAACGUUCCCUUAUGCCUCAUUUUGUUAAAGAUGGUAGAAGGUUCUAUAGGCCUGAAAGGUCAGAGCAUAUGAAGAAAGUUGAGGGCACGAAAGAGAAAUUGAAUAAUGUUGUAAGGAAAAUUUCGAAGGAAGGGAAUGGCUUCGGCAAGAUUUUGGGAAGUGAUAUCGUUGGGAGAUCUUCGUGUGAAAAAGAUGGUAAAAAGCCUAAUGGAAAGCGUUCUCUAAUGCCCGUGGAAAGUGGUAGAAGCGAAGGAAGCCAGUUAUUGGAAGUUCGGGGUGAGCGGUUGAUUGUGCAAGCUUUGAUGGCUGCUAAGAGGUGCCCAUGGAUGCAGGGAAAGGGGAGAGGUUCCAUUGGUUUGCAAUCUGGACAGAAGAAACCCAGAAUCAGGGCAAGCGGUAAUUCCAAAAAAACAUUGUAAUGUGAUACCGACACCAGUGGACAACCGAGGUAGGAUUCUGUUACGCCGGCGCCAGUAGGCGACCAAGGUGGGAUUCUGUUAUGGCGGCGCCAGUGGGCAGCCGAGGUGGGAUUUUGUUAUGCCGACGCCAGUGGGUGACCGAGGUGAGAUUCUGUUAUGCCGGCGCCAAUGGGCAGCCGAGGUUGAACAGUUUAUGUUUUGAUUGAAGAUUGCUAAUAGAAGAUUAAUUUCUUAAUCAUUAUUGCUUGGACUGAAGCAGAGAGGCUGGAAGCAGAAAUUAACAGCUAAGCAAAUAUUGCACAUCUUCUGUAACUAUUUUGGUAACUCUGCUCCCUUUUUUGUUAGUAUUUGAUUGCAUAGGCAAUUUCAAUUUUUGAUGAUGGCUUCCUAUCACCCAUGUUUCUAUAUAAUUUGUUCUUUUUCUUCUAAUGUACUAAUCUUUGCUUAAGAAUUGCCCAAAAAAACACACUUCUACAUGUUUGUGAUAUAAUCACCUUCCAAUUGCAGCACUAUUUGAACUUCAA